AUUCACAGUCAAGUCAUGUGGAACUACACAACUUCCUUUUUGUGCAUUGGAGCUGGAAAUCUCGUUGAGUUUGGGAGGCCUUACUUCUGCAUAUUUGAAUCUGGUGACCAAAUUAAACAUUGUUCUAAGUAAGUGGGUGGGUGGGGAUGGUGAUGGGCUGGGGCUGAGGUGGGGAGACAGAGAGCCUUGAGAGGUUUUAGGCUUUUGCACCUGUGAUUUCAGGGCAUGGAAGCUGGAUUUGGGUUUGAAUAGUAGUAUGUUGAUAGUGGUGUGUGUGAUAGAGAACUGAUCCUAAAACUUAAUAUUUCAAUAAGAACAACCAUAAAGGACAGAAAAUGGGACCCUUUUUAAGGGCUAACUAUAGAAAUUGGAUUCAUACUGUUAGGACUAAUGAUUGAAAGCAAAGGAAAACUCAAGCAACGUUCCUCAGCCGGCACAUUCAAAUGAUAAAUUGCAUUUAAGCACUGAAAGAAACAACAGCUGCAGUUAAUGAAAAGCCAAAUUUAUCUAAAUUUCUCCAGUUGAUCAGUCAAAAUAAUCAGUAUGGCUCUCACUCCAUAAUCACUUUUUGGCGGGGAAGGGGGACGAGGGGGGAGGUCGGAGAGGGGGAGGACAAAGAGAGAAGACAGGUUUUUAUUUUUAAAGGUAUAGUUUUCAAAAAGGAACUGUAAAGCUACUGAAUUGUAGAAAAUACAUUUUCUUGUUAUCAAUAUCAUCAAUACUCUAGAUUUGUUGUUUUAUUUUUAACUCUCCUAAGGAUAAUGCAGUUGGCUCUUGUAUGGAAUGAAGCCUAUAGACAUGGGCCGGAGGCGGGAAAUCCGGGGGCGGGUUGUGAUAAUGAUACAAAUCUGAAAUGCGUUCCAAAACAUCCUAUGUCCAUUGAGCUGUUUCAUUAUUACAACACCUGUGAAAUAGACAACAGGUAUCAUUUGUGGCUAUUUUACACAGACAGGCACCAAAGGUUUGGGGGGCCAAGUGACCUACCCAAAGUCAGCUAAUAAGCUCCUCUACAAGCUGGGGAUAUAAGAAGAUGUCCACACUCCUCACCAAAUGCUUUACUAGAAAACAGAAAUAAAUUCUCCACGCCUCAUAUCCUUACAUGGUGAAAGCAGGAAAAUCCUGUUGCAGAAACCACUUGGAGGAGCUGCCAUCAAAGGCUGCUUGGGGCCAGCUUCCCUCCAGCACAGAGCUCUGCGCAGAGCCUGCAUGUGGUGUGGAAUUCUAUUAGAACUUACUCACCAUAUGUUUGUUUGCUGGUGUUCAGUGGAACCUGAGGGAGGGCAUAAUGGAUCUCCGUUACUAAACUGUGUGGAAGGCUUCCAGAGAUUUAAUAGUCUACCUCGAGGUGAUGAAUAGAGGGGCUCUUGUAUGCCUUGCAUAAUCAGGGAGCCUUGGUGCUCUGAAUGCGCCACGCUCUCCUCCAACACCCUUCUGGAAAAGUCUGUACAGCUGGCACUCCUGGAGGCAUUUCAAAAGUGGAGAUGGGUGGGGAGGGUGCCUUCCUCUCAUCUUCCCUGAGAAAAGAUUUGCGGGAUGAGAUUGCACUGAUAGCUGGAGAUUUUGAGUAGAAGGAAAUAGGCUAGAGGAGUGGAGAGGAGAGGGAAGGCAUUCGGUGACCUGGAUUUCCCUCCUUGCAGCUGUAGUGGUCUGAUCAUUCUACCAAGGCCAUGACUGUGAAGAGCACUGUGGGUGAUGGCUGGUGGCUCACCGGAGCCGGCUUGUGCACGGCGCCCGAAGCCAAAGGCAGAAUCACUGAUGAUGGCAGCUUUCUGAGACAGGCCCUUGUUCAGAAUCGUGCAGAACUGACUUCUAUUGACCUUAAGAGGAUAGUCCUUACAGGUGAGAGAUACAGCUUCUUUCCUUGGAGUUAACCAUGGUCAUUAUCUUCAUGUCUGAGUCUGAACCUUUUGUGUGGGGUAGAUAAUUUGCAUUUAUCUGGAACAAAUGGCUUUCUGAAGUAUCAGCUGAUCUAAUCUUUUGAAGUCAUUUCCCUCUGCAGAGCACCCAAGGGCAUGUAUAUGAGUGAUUUGUGAGUCUUCCUGAUGCUUUUUUGGGGUAAAGGACAUUCCAGAUGGUGUGAGGCGGCAGCAAUUGCUUUUGGAUCUUUUCCUGGAAUUAUGGCACCAACCUGGUUAAAUGAGAAUCAGGCAGCCUUUCUCUUUGUCCAGGCCACAGGGGCAUAUUUCCUUUGUUCUAUGAUAAGUGUGGAUCAACAAUUUUCUCUAAUGCUUUUACAGCAGUAGGUGUCAAGGAGUACCAAUCUACUGUGCGCUCAUCACUGGGAGCCCAAGAUGUAAGUUGUGAAAAGGGAGUUUAAGUCCCAGACAGUUCAGCCAAAACCAGCCCCUACCUAGGUUCAUGCAUUAAACCCCAUUGCAAGGGUUUUUAGUCCCCAUUUUGUCUCAGAGUCUAAUCGGCUAAGAAUUUGGAAACAUACUGCUAAAGUGAGCAUUGAGGAGGGCACUUCGUAGGCACACUAUAAGGGCUUCUGAUUGGCCAUCAAAGAGAAGGGAAAUCUGCUGACUCCUACUAAUGAGAAUUUUCUGCAGUCUCAUAUGUUAAACCUUAACUAAUUAUCCCUAAGAAGAGCUGCUCCCCAAACUCAUUAACUAAUUAAACAUUUCCAGAUAGAGAGUUACCCAUGCUGCAUUAUAUUGCUGAAGUCACUGGUGUUCUUCCCCAGGUUUAUAGUGAUUUCUUAACAAAACCCAAGGAUGCCUGGAUCCUGGAUUGUUGAUCAUUGAUCUGCCUAUGAGCCAUGCCACUGGCGUGGCUACUGAUUCAUGCCAGUGGUUUGAUGGGCCCUCAGAGUUUGCCCUCUGGAAGCUGACAGCCAGGCCUCUAGGGAUCCCUGAGGGUUUCCCUAGCAUCCUCUUUUUUAGCAGGAUCAUGAAAAAGGAAACUGGGUUGGCCUCUUUCAGCACGAGGGAGCCUUUGCUCUCAGCUGUGAUUAAGAAAGCAGUGCUUCUCCGGAUGGGGAAUUUUCCCUUUGUUUCGCUUUUAUUGAGGAUCCCCUAUCCUGAGGUGUUUUAAAUUAAAUAGCUAGAUUCUGAAAAUGUUAAUUACUGCAAUGUAUUGGAGAACUUGAUAUCGGGAUUCAUUUUCCUUUGAAAUACCACAAAUACUAAACCCACAUUGCCUCCAUUUGUGCUGGGCAAAUGGUGACUCUAAUUCAGUCAGUUUCGGUUGUGGUUAUAGGGCCUGGUUAGGGUCCUGAGGUACUCUCUGGAAUGUGUAGUUUUUACCCUAAUUCCAGAAUUGGUGGCUGGGCCUUUGCUAUACAUUUGUAGCAGAGGCACACUGGUUGCAUUUGUAGCUGAGAGAGGCAGUGUUAAUUAGUGGUUAAGGGCUGGGCUUUGGGCAUAGAUGGGUUAGAACCCCUGCUUCUCCCUUACUGUCUCUGUGAAUUGGGGCAAAUACCUUCACUUCUCCGAGUUUUGUAUUUUCAUUUGUAAAAUAAGAAAAUAAAAAUACAGGUCCAAAAUUGCUUUCCGAACACUUAGGGCAAAAUGUAUUUUAGAAUUGAGAUUCUUUCAGAUUUUAGAAAAAUGAAAUAGCACAUAUGCCCUAUUUUACAUUAAACUACCAGCAAAGGUGAGGUCUGGGUGGUAUCCUGUAACCUAUUAAUAUUUCUGCAGCAAAAUGACAAUUCAUGCUAAAUAAAGAUUAGGAAUAGGCUCACAGCAAUUCAAAUUCAGGUCAGAUUUUACUGCCAAGUGAGUUUGUGGCAAAACUUAUCUAAAAAGUAAAUGGUUUUCAGGGCUUUUUGGAUUUUGGAAUUGUAGAUAAGGGAUAGCAGAUCAGUAUUUACUUACAUUCUUCUUAAAUAAGGUAUGUGUGAAGUACUUAUUACAAGGGUUUUUACACACUAACUGCCCAAAAAAAGUUAGCUAGCAUUGAGAUUCUUAUUCCCUUGCUAGAACCCACUUCCUUAGUGUUUGUCUCUGAGUCUUCUGGCUGGUCAUUUUGUCUCUGAGUUAGCUGUAAAAAUGUAUCAUCUACGCAUGUAUGCAGAUGAGAGAACUUUUACUAGCUCUGCCUUGGAAAGUGUUUCUUCUGUUCUGCUAAUUUUAGAAACCAUCACAGUCCAGUAGAACAUUUUGCAAUGAUGGAAAUGGGCUGCCCAAUAUGGCAGCCAUUAGCCAUCUGUGGCUGUUAAGCACUUAAAAUGUGGCCAAUGUAAUUGAGAAAUUAAAUUUUAAAUUUCAUUUAAUUUUAGUUAAUUAAUUUAAAUUUAAAUUUAAGUAGCCACAUGGGGAUAGUGACCACUGUGUAUUAGGCAGUGCAGGUCUAGACCUGAACAUAGUGUCAAAUGCUGAGAUGACCUUGUCCUCUUUAGAUGCAAGAUUCUUUAUCCUUAAGCUGCUGAAGCUGGUGAGGAAUUGCUCUUUCACUUGUUUAUUUACCAAGUAUUCUGUGAAUUUCUACUACGUGCCUUCUACUCUGUGUUAGGUACUGGGGAUAGAGAACAAGGUUUCCUCACCCAAGGAGAACAUAGAUACAUUAGCAUAUGUAAGCCUACAUUUAAAAACAUAAAUAGGCUGUGAUGAGUCCAGUGAUAGAGAUAUUGGAUUGCUGUGGGAACACAGAGUGGGGACACACAAACAGUGUGGGGAAAGGUCAGAGAAAACUUCAUUGAGAAGGAAGGAAGCUUUUUGUAGCGCUUUGUACAAGCAGCAUGAGUUAGCCAAGGGAGAGUAAGAGGAAGAAGGAAUUAUAAGGCAGAAUGAGAGAAGACAUGGAAAUGAGACCUAAUGUGACGUUCUGGUAAGCUAUCAGCUCUUGAUGUGGCUAGAGUGGCAGGAGUUGGGGCUGGAGUAUGGAUGGAGCUGAGAACGUGGAGGGCCUUGCUUGCUGCAGAGCUCCUGCAGGCAAUACUCAGAGCCAAAGCAAACCUGAAAAGUGGGGAUUCACUUUGUCACUGUUCUAGUCAGUAUUUAGUUAGGAAAAUGGAAGACAUUUUAAGUAUUUCAAGAUGGAAGAGGUUUCAUGUGGGGAAUUGGAGGUCUAUGUAAAGAUUGGAGUCUGGAGACCAAAGGUGAGAAUGCUUUCAAGAAAUGUAAAUUUCAGAGAUUGCUGGAAACCACCAGCUAUGGUCUGGGCUGCCUGUAGCCUUGUAAAUCAUGGGCAAAAGUCCACAUCUGCUGUCUGCUUGCUUCCAAGGCUUAUGUGUCUGCUGAAGCUGGAGAAGAUGCUUUUCUUCUCUUUUGUCUUCCAAAGCUUACGUCAAUUUCUUUCAAUGGUGGAAUUUAGCCAGGGAAUCUGUGAAUUGUAGUACUCGGGCUUUCCGUUCUUGAGGUUCAGAGAAGAGCCUAGAAGAGCAGGAUAGUACUGAGUAAUGACAAACAGUAUAAGACAUCACCUUUUUUUCAGUGCCUUAGACUAGUAAUAUCGGCUAUAGGUGAAGUGACCACAGAAUUUAUUAUACAAACCAGGUCAUUUUUAAAAACAAAAGGGGCUAUAAAAUUAGUUAAUAGGUAUUAGUUAAUACA
rnacentral:lncRNA from 1 species